rnacentral:rRNA from 1 species
UCCGUCUUGGAAGCACGGACCAAGGAGUUUAUCGUGUACGCAAGUCAUUGGGUGAAUAAAACCCAAAGGCGAAAUGAAAGUAAAGAGUUGAGCAUAAUUUAAAAAAAUUUUUUUUUCUUUUAUGUUCCUCUUAAGGGAAGAUAGAAAUUGCUUUAAUAAUAGUUUUAAACUUGUUUUAUAACUAUUUGUUAAUGUUUAAUUUCUCGCACUCCCAGGGCGCUUGUUUAACGCUUGCGUGGCAAUGCGCACCUAGAGCGUACACGCUGAUACCCGAAAGAUGGUGAACUAUGCCUGGCCAGGACGAAGCCAGGGGAAACCCUGGUGGAGGUCCGCAGCGAUUCUGACGUGCAAAUCGAUCGUCGGAGCUGGGUAUAGGGGCGAAAGACCAAUCGAACCAUCUAGUAGCUGGUUCCCUCUGAAGUUUCCCUCAGGAUAGCUUGCGCUUAGAUAAAGAAUCUCAUCCGGUAGAGCGAAUGAUUAGAGGCAUUGGGGUCGAAACGACCUCAACCUAUUCUCAAACUCCAAAUAGAUGAGAUCCCCGGCUUUCUUAAAAUUGAAGCCGUGGGAAUAGGAUCAGAGUGCCAAGUGGGCCAAUUUUGGUAAGCAGAACUGGGCCUGUGGGAA